rnacentral:rRNA from 1 species
UACAGAGGUGGCAAGCGUUGUUCGGAAUUACUGGGCGUAAAGGGCGCGUAGGCGGUCUUUUAAGUCUUGUGUGAAAUCCCUCGGCUCAACUGAGGAACUGCACGGGAUACUGGAAGACUUGAGUUCGGGAGAGGGAAGCGGAAUUCCGGGUGUAGCGGUGAAAUGCGUAGAUAUCCGGAGGAACACCGGUGGCGAAGGCGGCUUCCUGGACCGAUUACUGACGCUGAGGCGCGAAGGCUAGGGGAGCAAACGGG